GGGGGCGUAAAGGCUUCGACGGGGGCUUGGAACCGAGGUAAGCGAGCAGCGUUGCGGACACGCUUUAAACGCCGUAACCUUAAAAUUAAACGACAACGAUUCAGUUGCCUACGCUGCUUAAUUAAGCAGCCGUCUUUACCCGAAGUACCGCGGUCGGGAUAAAGGCGUCGAUUAGCGGUGAACGUAAGCCGUCGAGCGCCUCGACGCGGCUUAUGAAUAAGAGGCUACCGAGUCCUUCGGCCUGUCGUUUGGCAGUCGGACAAGGGAAAUUCAGUUAAACGACUGCGCUCGGAGAAAAUCUCGGGAAAAGGCUUUCGGACACGGGUUCAAUUCCCGUCGCCUCCACCA
rnacentral:tmRNA from 1 species